rnacentral:rRNA from 1 species
GUAGCUUGCUACUUUGCCGGCGAGCGGCGGACGGGUGAGUAAUGUCUGGGAAACUGCCUGAUGGAGGGGGAUAACUACUGGAAACGGUAGCUAAUACCGCAUGACCUCGCAAGAGCAAAGUGGGGGACCUUCGGGCCUCACGCCAUCGGAUGUGCCCAGAUGGGAUUAGCUAGUAGGUGAGGUAAUGGCUCACCUAGGCGACGAUCCCUAGCUGGUCUGAGAGGAUGACCAGCCACACUGGAACUGAGACACGGUCCAGACUCCUACGGGAGGCAGCAGUGGGGAAUAUUGCACAAUGGGCGCAAGCCUGAUGCAGCCAUGCCGCGUGUGUGAAGAAGGCCUUAGGGUUGUAAAGCACUUUCAGCGAGGAGGAAGGGUUCAGUGUUAAUAGCACUGUGCAUUGACGUUACUCGCAGAAGAAGCACCGGCUAACUCCGUGCCAGCAGCCGCGGUAAUACGGAGGGUGCAAGCGUUAAUCGGAAUUACUGGGCGUAAAGCGCACGCAGGCGGUUUGUUAAGUCAGAUGUGAAAUCCCCGAGCUUAACUUGGGAACUGCAUUUGAAACUGGCAAGCUAGAGUCUUGUAGAGGGGGGUAGAAUUCCAGGUGUAGCGGUGAAAUGCGUAGAGAUCUGGAGGAAUACCGGUGGCGAAGGCGG